GUGGUUAUAGCUCAGUAGUAGAGCGCUUGCCUGGCAUGCAUGAGGCCCUGAGUUCAAUCCUCAGCACCACA
rnacentral:tRNA from 1 species